ensembl:miRNA
UUUUAUGAUGUGCUUACAGGGCUCUUCAUUGUGGUCUCAGCGAUAUGAAGAGCCCUGCAAGCAUGUAAUAAAA